AUUGCAUCUUAGCCUUUGGCUAAGAUCAAGUGUUCUUUGUUUGUUAUCUGUUCUUAUCAGUUUAAAAUCUGAUACCCCAAGGACAAUAUAUUAAAUGCACUUUUAGAAUAAGGAGGUGGAAUUGAGCUUUCUCUGUCUCCAUGCACUGACUCGGUAUUGCAGGACCUUGAGGAACAGUACAUCAGAA